AAAAAGGAGCACAUGACGAAAAAGGAGCACAUGACGAAAAAGGAGCACAUGACGAAAAACGUAAAAUGACCAAUUGUAGUCAUAGUAUAAAUAUGUUAAGUGAAAAGUGUAUCAACAAUUUUAUGGAAGACAUAGAUACAGUUUUGGAGAACAGUCAAGAAUCAUUAAAAAAUAAUAUAGAUAGCUCUUUUAAAGAUUUAAAAAUAAAAUUAAAAGAAAUAACUAAAAGUGUAAAUGAAGAACAAAAUUGUAGAGAUAUGAUGGAAGAAAUGACUUAUAACAAUUAUGGAAAAUUUAUGUUUGAAAAAAAUGAAGAUAUUGAAAUGUAUAUAAAAAAUGCUAAGAAGAUAUAUAACGGGAAUGAUAGUGAGAGUGAUGGUUUUAGUAAUAGUACAGAAACUGGCAAUGGAAGCAUUAAUAAGACUAAAAACAGUAUUAACAAUAAUCUAACAAAAGAAGCAGAACUGAGAAAUAAAAAAAAAUUAUUUGAACAUUUUAUUUUCUUCCAUAUAGAUAAAACGUUAAAUGUUAAAAAACAAUUAGAAUAUAAAAUUAAAUUGUUACCUGAACUAAGUAAGCUAUUUUUUGAAACAUAUCCUCAAAAUAAAUUAGACAAACCAUUUAAUAUAUCAAACUUAUCAUUAAAAGUAAAAGAAGUUUUUAUGUUAUUAGAUGAAUAUAUAGAUUUAUAUAAAUUUAUUUAUAACAUUACUAAUGAUUAUCGUCAUACUAUUAAAAAUUUAUUUUCUUUUGAAUAUAUAAAACAAAUGUACACAGAUGAUAAAAAAAAAGAGAUAGCUAAUCAAUUUUUGAAAAAGGUUGAAAAAGUUAAUGAAGCUUAUGAAAAUUAUAAAAGUGGGCAAAAAGAAUAUAACGACUUUGUUAAAAAGUUAAUUAAACAUAUGGAUAUCGCAAAAACGGGUUAUAAUGAUAGUUCCGAUGGUAGUAGCAGUUCCGAUGGCAGUAGCAGUUCCGAUGGUAGUAGCAGUUCCGAUGGUAGUAGCAAUUCCGAAGACAGUAGCGAUUCCGAAGACAUUAUUGAGAAUACCAGUGAAGACGAUACAGAAGACUACAUUAAAACAUCCAUCACGGAAUAUGAGAGAAAAAAAAAAAAAAAAUUGUUCAACUCUUCUGUGAUACAUAAAUACGAAAAAAUAAUUAACAACGAGUCAAAUAACAUUUUUAAUUUAAGUGAAGAAGAUGCAAAAAAAAAAAAAAAAAAAUAUAAUAAUUUAUUAAAAAAAGAAGAUAAUUACCUAAAAGAAUUAAGCAAUAUAGUGAAUUUAUUAGAAGAUUAUAAAAAAUUAAAAAAUAAAAAUGUAAAAGUUCAUUAUCUUUCCGAAAUUGAUGCACUUGAAAGUAGACCUAACACAUUUGCUUUAAAACUUAGACAACAAGGGAUAGUACGUUUUUAUAAAAAUAUUUUAUUAUUUAUAAAAAUAAUAAUUACAAAGAGAUUAAUAUAUAUAAUAUUAAAUAAAAUAAAAUUUAUUCAAUCCAUUUCAUCAUUUGUUUUGUUAUUAAAUAAAUAUUUUAUAUAUAAUAUUUAUAUUAGAUACGUAAAAGAUCUUAUUAAUGAAUAUAAAAAAAGUAUAAAUUAUGAUUUUUGUUUUAAUUUUGUUUUAGAAAAUUUAGAGAUGCAUAUAAAACAGAAGGAUUUAUCAAAUUUUUCUAUUCAUUAUAUGUUUUAUAUGUUUUAUUUGAAUUCUAAUUUUGGAAGUGGGUACUUGUUGGGAGGUGAUAAAAGUGGUGAAAGUGAUAAAAAUGAUAAAAAUGAUAAAAA
ensembl:lncRNA